GCCUACGGCCAUACCACCCUGAACACGCCCGAUCUCGUCUGAUCUCGGAAGCUAAGCAGGGUUGGGCCUGGUUAGUACUUGGACGGGAGACCGCCUGGGAAUACCACGUGUAGUAGGCU
rnacentral:rRNA from 1 species